GGAGGGUGCAAGCGUUAAUCGGAAUUACUGGGCGUAAAGCGCACGCAGGCGGUUUGUUAAGUCAGAUGUGAAAUCCCCGAGCUUAACUUGGGAACUGCAUUUGAAACUGGCAAGCUAGAGUCUUGUAGAGGGGGGUAGAAUUCCAGGUGUAGCGGUGAAAUGCGUAGAGAUCUGGAGGAAUACCGGUGGCGAAGGCGGCCCCCUGGACAAAGACUGACGCUCAGGUGCGAAAGCGUGGGGAGCAAACAGGAUUAGAUACCCUGGUAGUCCACGCUGUAAACGAUGUCGACUUGGAGGUUGUGCCCUUGAGGCGUGGCUUCCGGAGCUAACGCGUUAAGUCGACCGCCUGGGGAGUACGGCCGCAAGGUUA
rnacentral:rRNA from 1 species